rnacentral:rRNA from 1 species
UACGAAGGGUGCAAACGUUGCUCGGAAUCAUUGGGCGUAAAGCGCACGUAGGCGGCUUCCUAAGUCGGAUGUGAAAUCCCUCGGCUCAACCGAGGACGUGCAUCCGAAACUGGGAAGCUCGAGUAUGGAAGAGGGUCGCGGAAUUCUCGGUGUAGAGGUGAAAUUCGUAGAUAUCGGGAGGAACACCAGUGGCGAAGGCGGCGACCUGGGCCAAUACUGACGCUGAGGUGCGAAAGCGUGGGGAGCAAACAGG